GAUGAACGCUGGCGGCGUGCCUAAUACAUGCAAGUCGAACGCUGGAAAUCUAGCUUGCUAGAUUGAAGGAGUGGCGAACGGGUGAGUAAUACAUAAGCAACCUACCCACGAAGACUGGGAUAAUCUCUGGAAACGGGGACUAAUACCGGAUAGGUAAUCGGAAGGCAUCUUCUGAUUAUUAAAGGUUAAAAACACUGGUGGAUGGGCUUAUGGCGCAUUAGUUAGUUGGUGAGGUAACGGCCCACCAAGACGAUGAUGCGUAGCCGGCCUGAGAGGGUGAACGGCCACAUUGGGACUGAGACACGGCCCAGACUCCUACGGGGGGCAGCAGUAGGGAAUUUUCGGCAAUGGGGGAAACCCUGACCGAGCAACGCCGCGUGAGUGAUGACGGCCUUCGGGUUGUAAAGCUCUGUUGUAAGGGAAGAACGGUAGAUAGAGAAUAUCUAAAUGACGGUACCUUACCAGAAAGCCACGGCUAACUACGUG
rnacentral:rRNA from 1 species